UACGUAGGGUGCGAGCGUUAAUCGGAAUUACUGGGCGUAAAGCGUGCGCAGGCGGUUUUUCAAGUCCGUUGUGAAAGCCCUGGGCUCAACCUGGGAAUUGCAGUGGAUACUGGCGAGCUAGAGUGCGGUAGAGGAUGGUGGAAUUCCCGGUGUAGCGGUGAAAUGCGUAGAGAUCGGGAGGAACACCCGUGGCGAAGGCGGCCAUCUGGACCAGCACUGACGCUGAGGCACGAAAGCGUGGGGAGCAAACAGG
rnacentral:rRNA from 1 species